GUAUUUCCAAAAAAAAUAAAGUUUUGAGGGAAUGAAGUUUGAAAUGAC
rnacentral:sRNA from 1 species